rnacentral:piRNA from 1 species
UAUGCAGAUUUACUCGGCAUGGUAGUGGCCA